rnacentral:rRNA from 1 species
CGACCGCUGGCGGCGUGCUUAACACAUGCACGUCGAACGGAAAGGCCCUGCUUUUGUGGGGUGCUCGAGUGGCGAACGGGUGAGUAACACGUGAGUAACCUGCCCUUGACUUUGGGAUAACUUCAGGAAACUGGGGCUAAUACCGGAUAGGAGCUCCUGCUGCAUGGUGGGGGUUGGAAAGUUUCGGCGGUUGGGGAUGGACUCGCGGCUUAUCCGCUUGUUGGUGGGGUAGUGGCUUACCAAGGCUUUGACGGGUAGCCGGCCUGAGAGGGUGACCGGCCACAUUGGGACUGAGAUACGGCCCAGACUCCUACGGGAGGCAGCAGUGGGGAAUAUUGCACAAUGGGCGGAAGCCUGAUGCAGCAACGCCGCGUGCGGGAUGACGGCCUUCGGGUUGUAAACCGCUUUCGCCUGUGACGAAGCGUGAGUGACGGUAAUGGGUAAAGAAGCACCGGCUAACUACGUG